AAGGAAUUUAAAUGAUCCUCUACAAAAAGUCAACUAAACACAAAAGAAGAGAGUAAUGCACAGACUGAGGGACAAAAGCUCUAAGACAUAUGGAAAACAAAUAGAAAAAUGACAGAGGCAGGACAUUUUUCACAUGAGAAUUUCAUCUCCUGCUUUCAAGAAAAGGAAGGAAGAUUUCUCCCUGCCCUGCAACAGUUCACUAACCACCACUUACAGCUAAUAAGAAACUGCCACAAACUCAAACUCCUGUUCCUCUCCAAUGAACUUUUAUUCAAAACAACUUCCCCAAUUUCCUCCUAAAACUUAAUAAAUGUUGACCUUCUUUUUGUAUCUUUGGACUUGACUGUGGUGAACCAUAGUUCACCAUUUGCAACCAAAUUGCAAUUUCUGUGCUAUUCCUGAAUAAACUCUUAUUUUCUUGA